rnacentral:rRNA from 1 species
UCAGGAUGAACGCUGGCGGUGCGCCUAAUGCAUGCAAGUCGAGCGACGCACUCUGGAGGGGUAACCCACCGGAAUGACGGAGCGGCGAACGGGUGAGUAACACGUGAGCAACCUGCCCCACAGACCGGGACAGCCCAGGGAAACCUGGAUUAAUACCGGAUAUCCUCCUAGGACCGCAUGGUCCAUUGAGGAAAUGCCAUUGUGCUGUGGGAUGGGCUCGCGAUUUAUCAGCUAGUUGGUGGGGUAACGGCCCACCAAGGCAUCGACGAAUAGCUGGUCUGAGAGGACGAUCAGCCACACUGGAACUGAGACACGGUCCAGACUCCUACGGGAGGCAGCAGCAGGGAAUCUUGCGCAAUGGGCGAAAGCCUGACCGAGCGAUGCCGCGUGAGUGAAGAAGGCCCUAUGGGUUGUAAAGCUCUGUCAGAUUGGGAAGAAAAUCCUACGGUUAAUACCCGUGGGACUUGACGGUACCAUCAGAGGAAGCACCGGCUAACUCCGUGCCAGCAGCCGCGGUAAUACGGAGGGUGCAAGCGUUGUUCGGAUUCACUGGGUAUAAAGGGUGCGCAGGCGGCCUGGUAAGUCAGGGGUGAAAUAUGACGGCUCAACCGUCAAACGGCCCCUGAAACUGUCAGGCUUGAGUCCGGGAGAGGAAGGUGGAAUUCCAGGUGUAGCGGUGAAAUGCGUAAAUAUCUGGACGAACACCCGUGGCGAAGGCGGCCUUCUGGCCCGGAACUGACGCUCAGGCACGAAAGCUAGGGGAGCGAACGGGAUUAGAUACCCCGGUAGUCCUAGCCGUAAACGAUGGGUACUAGGUGUUGGAGGAUUCUACCCCUUCAGUGCCGCAGCUAACGCAUUAAGUACCCCACCUGGGGAGUACCAUCGCAAGGUUGAAACUCAAAGGAAUUGACGGGGGCCCGCACAAGCGGUGGAGCAUGUGGUUUAAUUCGAUGCAACGCGAAGAACCUUACCUGGGCUUGACAUGCAGGGGACAGAUGUAGAAAUACAUCCUUCUUCCGACUCCUGUACAGGUGCUGCAUGGCUGUCGUCUGCUCGUGUCGUGAAAUGUUAGGUUAAGUCCUGCAACGAGCGCAACCCUUGUCUUUAGUUGCCAUCAGGUUAUGCUGGGGACUCUAAAGAGACUGCCGGGACAAACCGGAGGAGGGUGGGGACGACGUCAAGUCAUCAUGGCCCUUACGCCCAGGGCUACACACGUGCUACAAUGGUCGGUACAAAGGGCUGCAAUGCUGCGAAGUGGACCAAUCCCAAAAGCCGCCUCAGUUC